rnacentral:lncRNA from 1 species
CCUUGAGGAAAAGGUUAUUAUAGUGCAUAUAAAAUACAAAGUUGAGGAAAUCUAAUAUCACAUGCAAUGCCUUUUAGGAUCAGGUAUAGUUUACUAUGGAUCUUGAUUUUCUUUUCUCUAUCUAUCUCUUUUUGUCUCUUAAAUUGAUUGCACCCGUGGAUUGUUUAAGACCUUAAAAAAGACCAUAAGAAAUGUUUCCCAUUUGUUUAUUAUCAACAUAAUUUUUAGAUUUUCUAAAAAUUUGUUGAGAUCAAGAUUUAUGUUUCUAAACAUAAUAUGGUUACAUACUAUAUUUGAAAAGAGUUACUAUAAUAUGUAUUACAAAAAUACUGUAAAUGUCUGGUGAAUAGUUUAAAAUAUUUAGGCUAAAUUGCAUAUUUUGCUUAAAAAAUGAGAAGUAUCUUUAAAAAAUAGAUCAGAUAGGGUUUUCUAAGCCUUGGAAGCUGUUGCUGUUAGAUUUUCCUUAUGGUACCCAGUAUGUCACAGUUAUUAUCUAUCAGACAGACUGUUUUAAGAAUUAGUGACCAAACCACUCAGAGACAUUUUAUACAAAUGGUAUAAAUUGAGCCUAAGUUCUCCUUAGGGUACCAAAAGGAAGACGGAAAAAGAAAUUUGGAAGCAAAAUUAUCAGUUUCAUACCUGCCUUCUGACCUUCCUGCUCAAUUGUGUUCAAAAGACAAGUUUCUUUAAACUUUAAAUCCAAUUCCCUUGGAAAGCAUACACUUAGAAACCAGGAUGCAUGGGACACAAAAGGAACAGUGAAUACCAGAGGAUCAGAGAACACUUACCAGAACCAUAAAAAAGGCAGCAAUAGGAUUAUUCUGGGACCAAUUCCCUCUCCUGUAUGACUUCAAUGAGUCCGAAUAUGCAUUAACAUCAGCAGGCCAAAUGACUGAUGGCUUGGGACUCAUCCAUAUUUAUCUUCUCAGGACUGGACAGACAUCCUAUUGAUUCCUAGGUCAUUACACAACAUGUUAGCAAUCCAUACCAUCCAGUUCAAAAGGAAAUUUAAAAUUAGUGAUGGAUCUUCUUGCAGGUCUGUGCCGAGGGCACAAGAUGAGUAGUCAAGCAUUAGUCUAUUUUGACAUCUCUACACUCAUUUAAUGUCAAUCAGUCUUACACAGAAGAUUCUAAAAGUUGGAAAAUACAGAGCUUGUCUCGUUAAAGGAACAUUUUAAAGACUCUAAGUCUGUUUAUAGAGCCAAUAUAUUUGUGGUAGAAAAAUCACUUCUAGGAAAACUCACACAGAUGUAUGUGUACACACAUGCUCCAAAACACACAAUCUGAAAUAAAGUUAAUACAUUUACUACAUAGAAGGGAGAUUUAAUUAAAGUAUUCUGAAAAUGACCUUAUUUUAUUCUAGAAGAAAUGUGUGUAUAUGUGUCUCUUACAUGUAUAUUGUACGAAUGAGAGUUUUACUAGGUCAUUAAUAAAAAGAAUCAUUUAAAGGUCAUUUUAAAAAGAAAACAAACAGAACAAAAGAAAGGUAAAAACAAAGUCCAGAUGAAAAUUCCAUUAAAAAAUAUCCCAAUUAGUCACUGUGAUCAUCACUGAGAAUUUUGAAAUUCUUAGUAGACAAAGAAAAAAAAAGGCAUUAGCUAUUUUUUAACCAAAAAAAUCCCUUUAAAAACACCAAAAUAUGUCUAAUAUUCAGUCUUGUAGAAUCUUAGCUGCUUUCUGAGAGCAAUGCUGAGAAGUUUACAAGAGUGAAACAGAGCCCUACUUUCUUCAGCUAUUCCCAUGCUUUCGAAGUUCAUGUAACUUGAUUUUUGCAGUUGCAGAAACUGGCAGUUAAUCUAAGUCCAGGCCUUGACAUGCCUGGAGGCGCUCAGCUGCGAAGUCAGCCUCAUGCAGGGUAACAGCACAAGGCUUUAUUUGGUUUUGAAAAUUAAACCAAAAGGCGACUAUUCAGUGGGCUAUUUGAUAGGGAAUUAAGUUCUCAAAUGACAUUAAAAUCAUCCUGUAAUCCGGAGGUGACUUUGAAAUAAAGAGCCCACUUUAAAAAAGCUCAUAGCACAAUUUAUUCAUCCACAUGUGUGCUGUACCCUAUAACCCUGGAGGGCGCCACAUUUAUUCCAACAAUGUAUUCAUUGAUCCAAAUAUUUGUGUAACUUCUCCUUUGGAAUUGUCCUCAGACCCCAUUGCAUUUCUAUGCCUAUUAUUAAUUCACGUAUGUACUAACUCAUUCAUUCAACAAUUUUUUCUUGAACCUCACUACUUCAGGUAUAGCUCUAGCUGCUGGUGAUCAAGCAGUGAACGAAAGUAAUGGACAAAAACCUGCCCUCCAGGACUUUGCAUCUUAAGUGUGAGAAGAAAGGCAAAAAUAAGUAAAUCAAGGGCCUGCCAGAAGGUGGAAAGUGCUAAGGAGAAAAUCAAGCUAGGAAGGAGGAUAUGAAAGGCUUAGAUGGGAAGAAGAGCUUUCUGUAAAAGCCCCACUGCAAGGCAAAGAGUUAAAGAUGGUGAGGAAGAGAGCCAUGUAUAUGUCUCAGGAAAGAACAGCACGUGCAAAACUGUAUUUUACAGCAUUUUUAAAAUCUGAAUUCAUAAACAGAAACAAAGUUAAGUAAUUUGGGGGUGGUCAUAAAAAAAUCCUUUUAGUCAAAUCAUUAUGCUGUACAUUUUUAAACUUUUACAGUGUUAUAUGUCAAUUAUGUCUCAACAAGACUGGAAAAAGAUCUCCCCCAACGAUGCACAUAUAACCAUACACAUUAUAUACACAAAGACGCAUAUAACAUACAGCAGAAUUUUAUUAUAAGAAGUUGCCAAUUGGUGGGCUUAAGUUCUUCUUUAUUGCCUGGAUGUAACAGCCCUAUGAUUCUCCCCACUUUCAUGCUGUUUUGUUGCAUGUUUAGUAACAAUAUUCCUAAUGUAGCAAAUUCCCAUUUACUGUCAACAUCUUGGAGUUUCCUCCCCACCUCUUUGCCUUCAUUGGAGCUUGGCUCCCCUCUGGAGACACCACUAAGCCAGCAGCCUUCUCAAGUGCUUUCUUUUUAUUUUCUGGGAACUUAAGAUAUGCCAUAGGCUGGUGCUUUCAUACUCUUCUUUACCGUUUCCAACAACCAUGAUUCCCCUGUCCCUGUUAAAAGCAAAACAAAACAAAACUUUCUUCCUGCUUCUGAUAGAUCAUGCUCCCUUCUUACUUGCUGCCAUCUCCAGCCUCUCUGCUGUCACACUUUAUAUAAUGAAAAUUUUUGGCAAUGGCUCCCAGACUUCCUUGAAGCACUCAUAACCUUCAACGUUCAGGUUGUUUUCAACAUCCAUGUACCCUGAUCUCUCAGGUCCUUGAUCUCCCCAUUGAAGGAUUAUUUUUCCUGUCCCAUCUCUCAACUAUGCUCUCUUUCUGUCAAAUAAAGGUAUAAAUAUCACCUGAGACUCUUCGCACAUCUAAAAUCACAAAUUCAAGCACAACCUCCUCUUACAGUGUGUUUGUAAAACAACUGAUAUUUUAACCUCAAAAAAACCUACAGAACACAGUCUGCUUUACCUGAUAUGGACCAUCAUUCCUACUCUUUAUUCUCUUAAUAUUUAGCAUAGGUUUCCUGACCUUCAUUUCAAUCAUGGCAUGAGAACAUCCAAAUUCUUUGAUCUCUUCAUUAAACUUGCACUGCAAAGAUGCAAUGCGACAUAAACUACCUACGUUCUCCAGCCUGCUCAGGAAUAUCAACGUCAUGCUGAGAAAUGUCCCACAACAGGGCACACAGUCAAAAUAAAUGUAUGACCUUCAAGAAGCCCAAACAUUGGUCACUGGGACAGAAAAAUUCUCUCCCACUCUUCUGAAAUAACAUGCAAAUCUUCUUUGAGCUCCUGAAAACUACUUCUAUUUGGGUCCUCACUCUGUAUAGACGACCCCAAUUCCUACUUCAUAAUGAAAAGUGAAUUUUCCUCAAGGAUUCUUUUGACUUUCUUCUUCCAAACAACUCCUCCUACCUUUGUGCUUCUCCUUGUCUUUUGCCCUCCUGCUAUAGCAAAGGGGCUGCUUUUAUAUCUAAGACCAAUCCCACAUCCUCUGCUCUGAAUGAUGAUCUUUCUCCACCUUCUCAAAGAACUUGUGCUUUCAAUUUUUCUUGCUUUUAUACAUUCAAACACACCUUCUCAAUGUGAUUCUUCCCAAUGACAGUUACACUUGCUCCAAUACAUGAUUUUUUUAAAAAGAAAAGUAGGCCUCAAACCUUUGUCAGCUUUACGAAUCCCUCUACUACCACCCAUCCUCUUUCUUCACAGUCACUAUUUAAAACAUGUGUCUGUGGGUUGAUUUUCUUCACUCUUCUUUUCCCUUGACUACUCAGUCCAGCGUGGCUUCUUCACGGAUUAUACCACAGUAAAAGGUCUUGAAUAAGGUCACCAGAGCCAUAGUGAUUCCAAAGUGACAGGUUAUUUUUCAACACUAACUUCUUUGCUCCUCUUGGCAACGUGGACAAUGGUGAAUAUUUCUUAAUUCCAUCAAACAUUCUUCUAGUCCUUGUGACACCCCUCUCUGGUUUCAUUACUACCUCUCCGGCUGCUGUUUUCCUCCCAGCUUCUUGAUAGUCUAAUCGUCCGCCGCAGACCCCUUACUGUGGGAGUUGUUCAAGGCUAUGUCAUGGGCUCUUCUUCCUUCACUCUCUCUGAGUCUUCCUAGGCAAUUUCUUCCAUGUUCAACUUUUCUACUAUCACCUAUGUGCAGACAACUCCUAGAAUUGUUCUUCUACCUCAACCCUCCUCAUUGAGCCUUAGAUAUGUAUGCAGGGCAUGAAAUGCAGUAUCACUAUCCAAACAGCUAAGAAGAGACUGUAAUCCAGCUGAACUUAUGACCUUCUCUCCCAUAACCCAGUCCUCUACCUUCUUUGGCUGGCUUGGGGAAUGACAUCACUGAGGCAGCUAUGCAAACCUGAACGUUAGGAGUCGUCCUGCUUCUGACCUCCACAUUACCUCCCAAGUUUAAUUCAUCACAGAAUUUUGUCAAUUUAAUUUCCCAAAUUACACUCCAAUUCAUUCACUUCUCUCUAUCUUCUCUACCAGCAGCUUAGCCUAAGCUACCAUUAUUGUGAUUAACUAUUUGAUCUUACAGGGUGAAUGCUACAGGCUCUGUCACCACCAGUCUCUCAGUUAAUUACUUGUUUGUACAAAAGACCUCAGAUGCACUAUAUUCCUCAAAAAUGUCAGUGUCAUAAAAGACAAAGGCACUCAAAAGCUCUAAAGAGACAUGAAAACUAAAUGCAAUACCUGAUCCUAGACUGGAUCCUGUACUGUUGGUAAAAAAAUAUUAUGAAGAUAUUAUUGGGUCCAUUGAAAAAAGUGAGAUAUGGAUUACAUAAAAGUGGUUGUAUUCAUGUUAGUUUAUCAAAGUUGAGAACUCUCCUAUAUAAGAGAUAUAUAGGAGAAUAUUUCCAUUCUUGGAAAUACAAAUCAAGGUGUUGUAAGAAAAAGAGAAAAUUAGGUAAAAUGUUAAUAGAUGAAUAAAGUUAUGACUGGUGUUUGUAAGGUACUUAUACUUUGUCCUAUUCUAAUACUAUUCUACACUUUUAAAAACAUUUAAAAAUUCCUCAGUCCCAUAGGAGAUUAAACUAACUGUGUAUCAGGGAAAAAAACAAAACGAAACCAACCAACUAACCAAACAAAAACCCCAAACAAACAAAAAGCUCCUUGCUCUACCACUUUCUAGUUGUAUAAUUUUACUCUGCUUUACCUUCCUCAACUAUAAAACAGACCCUUAUUCAUG